GAUAGCAUGGCUGAGAGAUCUAAGGUGCUGGAUUAAGGCUCCAGUUUCUUUAAGGGUGUGGGUUCAUAUCCCACUGCUGCCA
rnacentral:tRNA from 1 species